rnacentral:rRNA from 1 species
GACGAACGCUGGCGGCGUGCUUAACACAUGCAAGUCGAACGGAAAGGCCCUGCUUUUGUGGGGUGCUCGAGUGGCGAACGGGUGAGUAACACGUGAGUAACCUGCCCUUGACUUUGGGAUAACUUCAGGAAACUGGGGCUAAUACCGGAUAGGAGCUCCUGCUGCAUGGUGGGGGUUGGAAAGUUUCGGCGGUUGGGGAUGGACUCGCGGCUUAUCAGCUUGUUGGUGGGGUAGUGGCUUACCAAGGCUUUGACGGGUAGCCGGCCUGAGAGGGUGACCGGGGAAGUGGGGACUGGAAGACGGCGCAGGGUCGUACGGGCCGCCGCAGUGGGGAAGAUUGUAGCAUGGGUGGAAGUCUGAUGCGGCAUCGCGGGGGGCGGGAUGACGGGGAGAGGGUGGGAAAACGGAUUCGCGGGUAACGAAGCGGGAGGGACGGGAAUGGGAAAGGGAGCACCGGCAAGUUACGUG